GACGGGACCCGCACAAGCGGUGGAUGAUGUGGAUUAAUUCGAUGCAACGCGUAAAACCUUACCUACCCUUGACAUGUCCGGAAUCCCGAAGAGAUUUGGGAGUGCUCGCAAGAGAGCCGGAACACAGGUGCUGCAUGGCUGUCGUCAGCUCGUGUCGUGAGAUGUUGGGUUAAGUCCCGCAACGAGCGCAACCCUUGUCAUUAGUUGCCAUCAUUUGGUUGGGCACUCUAAUGAGACUGCCGGUGACAAACCGGAGGAAGGUGGGGAUGACGUCAAGUCCUCAUGGCCCUUAUGGGUAGGGCUUCACACGUCAUACAAUGGUCGGUACAGAGGGUUGCCAACCCGCGAGGGGGAGCUAAUCCCAGAAAGCCGAUCGUAGUCCGGAUUGUUCUCUGCAACUCGAGAGCAUGAAGUCGGAAUCGCUAGUAAUCGCGGAUCAGCAUGUCGCGGUGAAUACGUUCCCGGGUCUU
rnacentral:rRNA from 1 species